rnacentral:rRNA from 1 species
GAUGAACGCUGGCGGCGUGCUUAACACAUGCAAGUCGAACGAACCUUCGGGUUAGUGGCGGACGGGUGAGUAACGCGUGAGAAUCUGCCCUCAGGAGGGGGAUAACGGUUGGAAACGACCGCUAAUACCCCAUAUGCCUACUGGUGAAAUGAAUUUCGCCUGAGGAUGAGCUCGCGUCUGAUUAGCUAGUUGGUGAGGUAAUGGCUCACCAAGGCUUCGAUCAGUAGCUGGUCUGAGAGGAUGAUCAGCCACACUGGGACUGAGACACGGCCCAGACUCCUACGGGAGGCAGCAGUGGGGAAUUUUCCGCAAUGGGCGAAAGCCUGACGGAGCAACGCCGCGUGAGGGACGAAGGCCUCUGGGCUGUAAACCUCUUUUCUCAAGGAAGAAGAUAUGACGGUACUUGAGGAAUAAGCCACGGCUAAUUCCGUGCCAGCAGCCGCGGUAAUACGGGAGUGGCAAGCGUUAUCCGGAAUUAUUGGGCGUAAAGCGUCCGCAGGCGGCUUUUCAAGUCUGCUGUUAAAGCGUGGAGCUUAACUCCAUCAUGGCAGUGGAAACUGAAAGGCUUGAGUAUGGUAGGGGCAGAGGGAAUUCCCGGUGUAGCGGUGAAAUGCGUAGAUAUCGGGAAGAACACCAGUGGCGAAGGCGCUCUGCUGGGCCAUUACUGACGCUCAUGGACGAAAGCCAGGGGAGCGAAAGGGAUUAGAUACCCCUGUAGUCCUGGCCGUAAACGAUGAACACUAGGUGUCGGGGGAAUCGACCCCUUCGGUGUCGUAGCUAACGCGUUAAGUGUUCCGCCUGGGGAGUACGCACGCAAGUGUGAAACUCAAAGGAAUUGACGGGGGCCCGCACAAGCGGUGGAGUAUGUGGUUUAAUUCGAUGCAACGCGAAGAACCUUACCAGGGUUUGACAUCCUGCGAACCUCUUAGAAAUUUGAGGGUGCCUUCGGGAAUGCAGUGACAGGUGGUGCAUGGCUGUCGUCAGCUCGUGUCGUGAGAUGUUGGGUUAAGUCCCGCAACGAGCGCAACCCACGUUUUUAGUUGCCAGCAUUUAGUUGGGCACUCUAGAAAGACCGCCGGUGAUAAACCGGAGGAAGGUGUGGAUGACGUCAAGUCAUCAUGCCCCUUACACCCUGGGCUACACACGUACUACAAUGCUACGGACAAAGGGCAGCAAACUCGCGAGAGCUAGCAAAUCCCAUAAACCGUGGCUCAGUUCAGAUCGUAGGCUGCAACUCGCCUACGUGAAGUAGGAAUCGCUAGUAAUCGCAGGUCAGCAUACUGCGGUGAAUACGUUCCCGGGCCUUGUACACACCGCCCGUCACACCAUGGAAGUUGGCCACGCCCGAAGCCGUUACUCCAACCCUUGUGGAGGAGGACGUCGAAGGUGGGGCUAAUGACUGGGGUG